AUUCUGCCGAGUUCGACGCGUCCCUGGGUCAACAAGGGAGGUGCUUAAGGUAAAUUUGAGCAACCAAUCAGAUUACUCACGUCACGUGACAUGUGCCCAGCCUCAGCUUGCGCGCCACUAUUUGAAUUGUGUGCUUUGACGUCGCCUUCAUUUUACAAAGGUUUGAAGAUUUCUCAGUUCUUUGCUUAUAUUUCAAGGAUCACUGGCUGGUAAUAGGACACGCGUGGUCGGACAGUGCUACAACCAUGCCAACUCCGAUACAAACAAUCUUGUUGAAAGGAACCUUAGACUGGAUCUUAUCAGCAUUCUCAUCAAGAAGACAGAUGGAUACUUCCAGGUCAUUCAUGAUUUACAGGCAGACAGUUUGAAGAAUGAAAAAUGCUUCUUUGAAGACUGUUUCUGUAGCUGCCCAAUAGGAGUCAGAGGACAUCGCUGUAAACACCUUGUACUUGUACUUACUGAUCAAG